UGGUGCAAAUACACGCACCAGGGAGACAGCCAAAAAUGCAAACAGCAGCGCCCAUAGGAUGUACAUUAAGUAAUUCAGAAUGUAAGCACUGGCACCCUAGACAACAGACACAAAACCACCUCUGACUGAUUCACCAGCAGCUCCGACCAUUUCUGCCACAGGGGACACUUGUCUCUGUCCUCAAAAGUGGUCUCGUUAGAAGUCCAGCAACACUGCUCAUGGCUAUACCAGAAGGCAGACAGGCAGACCCCCUCCUUCAGGUCCGUCAUCCAGUCCACGGCGAGAUCGAUGACCCCAGCCAAGGUGCCUUACCUUCCUGUGUCUGUCGGUGUCCCGUGACUUUUCCCUUAGCCAGUCGAUGGUGUGGAAGUCCUCAUACGUCCCCACAUCAGGGAACGGCUCAUCGAGGAAAUCCAUCAGGUUUCCAGAGCCACUCAUCGCUCCCGCAUUGACCAUGCU
rnacentral:lncRNA from 1 species